rnacentral:rRNA from 1 species
UACGAGAGGCCCAAACGUUAUUCGGAAUUACUGGGCUUAAAGAGUUCGUAGGCGGCGUGAAAAGCAGGGUGUGAAAGCCCUCGGCUCAACCGAGGAAUUGCGCUCUGAACUGUCGUGCUUGAGGAACCUAGAGGUGAGCAGAACUGAUGGUGGAGCGGUGAAAUGCGUUGAUAUCAUCAGGAAUACCGGAGGCGAAGGCGGCUCACUGGGGGUUUUCUGACGCUGAGGAACGAAAGCCAGGGGAGCGAACGGG